rnacentral:rRNA from 1 species
AGGAUGAAUGCUGGCGGCGUGCCUAACACAUGCAAGUCGAGCGGUAACAUGAUUAAUUUAUUAAUUGAUGACGAGCGGCGGACGGCUGAGUAACGCGUGGGAACAUGCCCCAAAGUGAGGGAUAAGCUCCAGAAAUGGAGUCUAAUACCGCAUAUGAUCUUCGGAUUAAAGGAUUUAUCCGCUUUGGGAGUGGCCUGCGUACGAUUAGAUAGUUGGUGAGGUAAUGGCUUACCAAGUCUACGAUCGUUAGCUGGUCUGAGAGGAUGACCAGCCAGACUGGAACUGAGACACGGUCCAGACUCCUACGGGAGGCAGCAGUGAGGAAUCUUCCACAAUGGGCGAAAGCCUGAUGGAGCAACGCCGCGUGCAGGAUGAAGGCCCUCGGGUCGUAAACUGCUUUUAUAAGUGAAGAAUAUGACGGUAACUUAUGAAUAAGCACCGGCUAACUACGUGCCAGCAGCCGC